rnacentral:rRNA from 1 species
UACGUAGGGGGCAAGCGUUGUCCGGAAUCAUUGGGCGUAAAGCGCGUGUAGGCGGCCAGAUAAGUCCGCUGUGAAAUCUCGAGGCUCAACUUCGAGCUGUCGGUGGAAACUAUCUGGCUAGAGUCCGGAAGAGGAGAGUGGAAUUCCUGGUGUAGCGGUGAAAUGCGCAGAUAUCAGGAAGAACACCCGUGGCGAAGGCGGCUCACUGGCUCAUACUGGACGCUGAGGUGCGAAAGCGUGGGGAGCAAACAGG